rnacentral:lncRNA from 1 species
AUUUUGGCUUUAAAAUUGAUUCACUUAUAGGGUCUUUGUAUCGGAAUUAAACACAUUUAUUUAAAAACCAGUUGUUCGCAUGACACGGAUUCUUCUCAUAUAUUUCAUGAUGGUAUAAUACUAAACCCCUAACGGGAGGGAUUGUGCCUGAUAUUCAUACGAUGGAGAAAUAAUCUUUCAAUCAAUUUAAUUGAGGUCUGAGGCUGGCAUGUCAGUAAUUGCUAGUAGUUUGUUGUUAUUUAUGUAUUAUUGUCAUUUUGUUUAUUUUCUUUUGACAU